UACAGAGGUGGCAAGCGUUGUUCGGAAUUACUGGGCGUAAAGCGCACGUAGGCGGCUUUUUAAGUCAGGGGUGAAAUCCUGGAGCUCAACUCCAGAACUGCCUUUGAUACUGAGAAGCUUGAGUCCGGGAGAGGUGAGUGGAACUGCGAGUGUAGAGGUGAAAUUCGUAGAUAUUCGCAAGAACACCAGUGGCGAAAGCGGCUCACUGGCCCGGUACUGACGCUGAGGUGCGAAAGCGUGGGGAGCAAACAGG
rnacentral:rRNA from 1 species